CCUACGGGAGGCAGCAGUGGGGAAUAUUGGGCAAUGGUCGCAAGCCUGACCCAGCAACGCCGCGUGAAGGACGAAGGCUUUCGGGUUGUAAACUUCUUUUGACAGGGAAGAGUAGAAGACGGUACAUUUCGAAUAAGCCACGGCUUACUACGUGCCAGCAGCCGCGGUAAUACGUAGGGGGCAAGCGUUGUCCGGAGUUACUGGGUGUAAAGGGCGUGUAGGCGGGGUGAUAAGUCAGAUGUGAAAGCCUUGGGCUUAACUGUAGAACUGCCUGUGAAACUGUUGAACUUGAGUACUGGAGAGGCAGGCGGAAUUCCUAGUGUAGCGGUGAAAUGCGUAGAUAGUAGGAGGAACACCAGUGGCGAAGGCGGUCUGCUGGAUAGCAACUGACGGUGAGGCGCGAAAGCGUGGGGAGCAAACAGGAUUAGAUACCCCUGUAGUC
rnacentral:rRNA from 1 species